rnacentral:rRNA from 1 species
CCAAUAGCGUAUAUUAAAGUUGUUGCAGUUAAAAAGCUCGUAGUUGAAUUUCGGAAUCUGUCCGUUGGUCGGGCUUAACUGUCCGUACUGAUGUGAUGGGUUCUUACCUUUUGAAUAACCAGCAUGCCAUUAAUUUGGUGUGUUGGGGACGCAGGACUAUUACCUUGACAAAAUUAGAGUGCUCAAAGCAGGCUAGCGCCUGAAUUCAUUAGCAUGGAAUAAUAAAAUAGGACGGCAUGGUUCUAUUUUGUUGGUUUCUAGGAUCACCGUAAUGAUUAAUAGGGAUAGUUGGGGGCAUUAGUAUUCAAUUGUCAGAGGUGAAAUUCUUGGAUUUAUUGAAGACUAACUUCUGCGAAAGCAUUUGCCAAGGAUGUUUUCAUUAAUCAAGGACGAAAGUUAGGGGAUCGAAGACGAUCAGAUACCGUCGUAGUCUUAACCAUAAACUAUGCCGACUAGGGAUCGGACGAUGUUAAUUUUAUAAUGACUCGUUCGGCGCCUUACG